UACGGAGGGUGCGAGCGUUAUCCGGAAUUACUGGGUUUAAAGGGUGCGUAGGCGGCGCAGUAAGUCAGGAGUGAAAGUUUGCGGCUCAACCGUAAAAUUGCUUUUGAUACUGCUGUGCUAGAAUUAGGAUGAGGUCAGCGGAAUGUGGCAUGUAGCGGUGAAAUGCAUAGAUAUGCCAUAGAACACCAAUUGCGAAGGCAGCUGGCUAGACCUAUAUUGACGCUGAGACGCGAAAGCGUGGGGAGCGAACAGG
rnacentral:rRNA from 1 species